AUUGAACGCUGGCGGCAUGCCUUACACAUGCAAGUCGAACGGCAGCACGGGUGCUUGCACCUGGUGGCGAGUGGCGAACGGGUGAGUAAUACAUCGGAACGUACCUUAUCGUGGGGGAUAACGCAGCGAAAGUUGCGCUAAUACCGCAUACGCCCUGAGGGGGAAAGCGGGGGACCGUAAGGCCUCGCGCGAUUAGAGCGGCCGAUGUCUGAUUAGCUUGUUGGUGAGGUAAAAGCUCACCAAGGCGAUGAUCAGUAGCUGGUCUGAGAGGACGAUGAGACAGACUGGGACUGAGACAAGGCCCAGACUCCUACGGGAGGGAGCAGUGGGGAAUUUUGGACAAUGGGGGCAACCCUGAUCCAGCAAUGCCGCGUGAGUGAAGAAGGCCUUCGGGUUGUAAAGCUCUUUUGUCAGGGAAGAAACAGCAGCUCUAACACAGUCUGCGAAUGACGGUACCUGAAGAAUAAGCACCGGCUAACUACGUGCCAGCCGCCGCAGUAA
rnacentral:rRNA from 1 species